GUGCUUAAACUUUCCGAGUAAGGAAUUUCACGGCUACCAGAUGAGCUCUAGUGGCUAUGUAACCUCACAGGUUGCGACCAAUUUUUGGAGGGUAGAGGUCUCCCUUGGAUGACCAGCCUACGUUUGCUGGUUGUCCUUGUGCGGGAACUGCCCA
rnacentral:snRNA from 1 species